AAACUUUUCAGAAAUUUUCAAAAUUUCAAAAUAUUUCCUUUUCUUUCGAAAAUUAAUAAUCCUUUUAAACGGCAAAAUUACACCCCAAACAGGAGCUCCCAAGUGGAGCCGCAACUUCGCUAUACUAUUUCUCCAAUCCAGCCAGCCAAGAUGUCAAAAUCCUUCCAAAUCAAAUCAAAAACCCUAAAAUUGAACCCUUUUUAUAAUCACUUCACUAUAUAAAUCACCCAAUCUUCACUGAUCAUUGAUAAAUCACUGUUAAACCUUGAGCUCAAGAAACAAGAAAUGAAAGCCUCACUAAAAUUCCGGGAAGAGCAAAACCCCCUAUUUAGAGCCAAAGUGCCACUUAACAUCUUGGGUUUACCAUUUCAAUCAGGAAUUAUAGCCGGAGAAUCCAAAGAACUUUCUUUAAAUCUCUCUACUUUCUUCCAAUCUGGACCCUCCAUCAAAAUCGCUUACCGUCCUAAUGACUCGUGGAACCCCUUCUCCCUCGUUAUCAAAACCGGAACCGGUCACUUCGGUUCUCCGGUUUCUAGCUCCAUGAUUAUGAGUGCGGAGUUCAAUCUAUUGAGUAAAGGCACUAGUAAUUUAAACCCUAGCUUUAUGCUCCACUUCAAGCCUCAAUUUGGGGAUUUUUCGAUUAAGAAGUCGCAGUCGUCGACUCACGUGAGUCAUCUGACGGGGUCGAUUCUGAACGGCAGCGCUUCGUCUGAUGAUCAUGGGUCGAUUGAGGCCGUCGAGGCUGCGACUCCGACUCCGGAUGUUGUCGACGGCGUGUUUUGUAGGAAGAGGAUUACGGUUAUGCCACCGGUGACGGCGAGUGCGGUUGCGGGACUGUUUUCUGGCGUGGAGGUUACGGCGAAGACGAGCCUUCCAGUGAGGAGCCAGGCGGUGGUGAGUUUCCGGUGGGGAGUUCGGGUUCCGGCUGAAAUUAAGAGUGGCGGUGAAUCAACGGCUGGGAUUAAUUUUAGGACGAUACCGAUCUUUGUGAUGAAUAAGAUUGGAAUUGAACACGUGGAUGGUAGAGAUGAGAGCAGUAAGAAAGAGGGGACGACAGGGAAGGUGGAGAUGGGUUCGGGGAAUGCUGAGGUGGCAGAGGCGUGUUUGGGUGUGAAAAGGCAAUUAGAGGUUUUGCAGAGUGAGAACGGGCAUUUGAGGAAAGCAGUGGAGGAAUUGAGUAAAGAAAUUGGCGGAGGGAAAUUAUCAGUUGGGGAUUUGGAUUCUGGAAAAUCCGAGAGAAAUGGAAUUAAAAGCCCCGAGUAGAAUGGAGGAGAAACCAUGAGAGGAAGAAAUCAAUGGAAGGAGAUUGAAGAAGGCAUGCGAGGGAACAGCUACUAGUGGACCUCCAAUUGCUGGUUCUGCUGUUGAAAAGCUGGAGGAAAUUAUUGGUUAUGUAAGCAUAGGCCCUUUGAAAUGGAAGGACCUAAUUAUGAUGCUCAGUUGGUGGAUUUAAUUCUGGGUUUCCUUGCAUCAUUGAAGGGAUCAACAGCCUAACCAACCAAAACAUUUGCACCACUAACUUGUAGAAUCAGCAGAAACAUAACUAAGUCAAGGUAAGGAUUGGCGCAUUUAGGUUUGAUUCCAGAAGAAGAAUUUGGGAUAUAGCAUUGAUCAAGGAAAAGCGAAGAAACCGAAACAGUUAGUUAAGAGUCCUUGUAUCAUCACGAACAAGUUUUCACACUUUAGCAUGUCAUCCACGGUAUGCUGUGGAAAAACUCAAUAGUUUUUUUCUUUUCUUUUCUGGAAUGAGUGUAUGUAUCAACUUUCCGAGAUAUCUCCUGUCUGAUUGUUAGGGUUUAUGAAGUAAGUUUUUCUAGGCAUCAUUGUUUGGUUUAGUCAUGUGAAGCGUUGGUGAUAUUUGUUAAAUGCGUCAGCAUGUAUUUGGACUACAGAAAUAAAAG